rnacentral:rRNA from 1 species
UACAGAGGUCCCAAGCGUUGUUCGGAUUCACUGGGCGUAAAGGGUGCGUAGGCGGUCGGGUAAGUCUGAUGUGAAAUCUCACAGCUUAACUGUGAAACUGCAUUGGAUACUCUCCGGCUAGAGGAAUGGAGGGGAGACUGGAAUACUUGGUGUAGCAGUGAAAUGCGUAGAUAUCAAGUGGAACACCAGUGGCGAAGGCGAGUCUCUGGACAUUUCCUGACGCUGAGGCACGAAAGCCAGGGGAGCAAACGGG